AUAGAGUCAAGUGAAUAAGUGCAUCAGGUGGAUGCCUUGGCGAUGAUAGGCGACGAAGGACGUGUAAGCCUGCGAAAAGCAUCGGGGAGCUGGCAAUAAAGCUAUGAUCCGGUGAUGUCCGAAUGGGGAAACCCACCGUAUUUUGUACGGUAUCCUUAUCUGAAUACAUAGGAUAAGCGAAGCGAACCCGGAGAACUGAACCAUCUAAGUACCCGGAGGAAAAGAAAUCAACCGAGAUUCCGUAAGUAGUGGCGAGCGAACGCGGAGAAGCCUGUAUAUGAUAGCUGUUGAGAUAGAAGAACAAGCUGGGAAGCUUGGCCAUAGUGGGUGACAGCCCCGUAUUCGAAAUUUCAUCAGUGGUACUAGGUAUACGACAAGUAGGGCGGGACACGUGGAAUCCUGUCUGAAUAUGGGGGGACCAUCCUCCAAGGCUAAAUACUCAUCAUCGACCGAUAGUGAACCAGUACCGUGAGGGAAAGGCGAAAAGAACCCCGGGAGGGGAGUGAAAUAGAACCUGAAACCUGAUGCAUACAAACAGUGGGAGCCUAUUAAUUGGGUGACUGCGUACCUUUUGUAUAAUGGGUCAACGACUUACAUUCAGUAGCGAGCUUAACCGGAUAGGGGAGGCGUAGGGAAACCGAGUCUUAAUAGGGCGAUGAGUUGCUGGGUGUAGACCCGAAACCGAGUGAUCUAUCCAUGGCCAGGAUGAAGGUGCCGUAACAGGUACUGGAGGUCCGAACCCACGCAUGUUGCAAAAUGCGGGGAUGAGCUGUGGAUAGGGGUGAAAGGCUAAACAAACUCGGAGAUAGCUGGUUCUCCCCGAAAACUAUUUAGGUAGUGCCUCAUGUAUCACUUCCGGGGGUAAAGCACUGUUAUGGCUAGGGGGUCAUUGCGACUUACCAACCCAUGGCAAACUAAGAAUACCGGAAAGUGCAAUCAUGGGAGACAGACAGCGGGUGCUAACGUCCGUUGUCGAGAGGGAAACAACCCAGACCGCCAGCUAAGGUCCCAAAUGACAGAUUAAGUGGUAAACGAAGUGGGAAGGCCCAGACAGCCAGGAUGUUGGCUUAGAAGCAGCCAUCAUUUAAAGAAAGCGUAAUAGCUCACUGGUCGAGUCGUCCUGCGCGGAAGAUGUAACGGGGCUCAAAUCUGUAACCGAAGCUGCGGAUGCACCUAGUGCAUGGUAGGGGAGCGUUCUGUAGGCCGAUGAAGGUGACUUGAGAAGGUUGCUGGAGGUAUCAGAAGUGCGAAUGUUGACAUGAGUAGCGAUAAAGCGGGUGAAAAGCCCGCUCGCCGAAAGCCCAAGGUUUCCUACGCAACGUUCAUCGGCGUAGGGUGAGUCGGCCCCUAAGGCGAGGCAGAAAUGCGUAGUCGAUGGGAAACGGGUUAAUAUUCCCGUACUUGAUUCAAAUGCGAUGUGGGGACGGAGAAGGUUAGGUUAGCAAGCUGUUGGAAUAGCUUGUUUAAGCCGGUAGGUGGAAGACUUAGGCAAAUCCGGGUCUUUUUUAACACCGAGAAGUGAUGACGAUUGUCUACGGACAAGAAGUAACCGAUACCACGCUUCCAGGAAAAGCCACUAAGCUUCAGUUUGAAUCGAACCGUACCGCAAACCGACACAGGUGGGCAGGAUGAGAAUUCUAAGGCGCUUGAGAGAACUCGGGAGAAGGAACUCGGCAAAUUGAUACCGUAACUUCGGGAGAAGGUAUGCCCUUUGAUGUGAAAGACUUGCUCUGUAAGCAUUGGAGGGUCGCAGAGAAUCGGUGGCUGCGACUGUUUAUUAAAAACACAGCACUCUGCUAACACGAAAGUGGACGUAUAGGGUGUGACGCCUGCCCGGUGCUGGAAGGUUAAUUGAAGAUGUGCAAGCAUCGGAUCGAAGCCCCAGUAAACGGCGGCCGUAACUAUAACGGUCCUAAGGUAGCGAAAUUCCUUGUCGGGUAAGUUCCGACCCGCACGAAUGGCGUAACGAUGGCCACACUGUCUCCUCCCGAGACUCAGCGAAGUUGAAAUGGUUGUGAAGAUGCAAUCUCCCCGCUGCUAGACGGAAAGACCCCGUGAACCUUUACUGUAGCUUUGCAUUGGACUUUGAAGUCACUUGUGUAGGAUAGGUGGGAGGCUUAGAAGCAGAGACGCCAGUUUCUGUGGAGCCGUCCUUGAAAUACCACCCUGGUGGCUUUGAGGUUCUAACCCAGGUCCGUUAUCCGGAUCGGGGACCGUGCAUGGUAGGCAGUUUGACUGGGGCGGUCUCCUCCCAAAGAGUAACGGAGGAGUUCGAAGGUUACCUAGGUCCGGUCGGAAAUCGGACUGAUAGUGCAAUGGCAAAAGGUAGCUUAACUGCGAGACCGACAAGUCGAGCAGGUGCGAAAGCAGGACAUAGUGAUCCGGUGGUUCUGUAUGGAAGGGCCAUCGCUCAACGGAUAAAAGGUACUCCGGGGAUAACAGGCUGAUUCCGCCCAAGAGUUCAUAUCGACGGCGGAGUUUGGCACCUCGAUGUCGGCUCAUCACAUCCUGGGGCUGUAGUCGGUCCCAAGGGUAUGGCUGUUCGCCAUUUAAAGUGGUACGUGAGCUGGGUUUAAAACGUCGUGAGACAGUUUGGUCCCUAUCUGCAGUGGGCGUUGGAAGUUUGACGGGGGCUGCUCCUAGUACGAGAGGACCGGAGUGGACGAACCUCUGGUGUACCGGUUGUGACGCCAGUCGCAUCGCCGGGUAGCUAAGUUCGGAAGAGAUAAGCGCUGAAAGCAUCUAAGCGCGAAACUCGCCUGAAGAUGAGACUUCCCUUGCGGUUUAACCGCACUAAAGAGUCGUUCGAGACCAGGACGUUGAUAGGUCGGGUGUGGAAGCGCAGCAAUGCGUGAAGCUAACCGAUACUAAUUGCUCGUGAGGCUUGACUCUAU
rnacentral:rRNA from 1 species